rnacentral:rRNA from 1 species
AUUGAACGCUGGCGGCAGGCCUAACACAUGCAAGUCGAACGGUAACGGGAAGAAGCUUGCUUCUUUGCUGACGAGUGGCGGACGGGUGAGUAAUGUCUGGGAAACUGCCUGAUGGAGGGGGAUAACUACUGGAAACGGUAGCUAAUACCGCAUAACGUCGCAAGCCCAAAGAGGGGGACCUUCGGGCCUCUUGCCAUCGGAUGUGCCCAGAUGGGAUUAGCUAGUAGGUGGGGUAACGGCUCACCUAGGCGACGAUCCCUAGCUGGUCUGAGAGGAUGACCAGCCACACUGGAACUGAGACACGGUCCAGACUCCUACGGGAGGCAGCAGUGGGGAAUAUUGCACAAUGGGCGCAAGCCUGAUGCAGCCAUGCUGCGUGUAUGAAGAAGGCCUUCGGGUUGUAAAGUACUUUCAGCGGGGAGGAAGGGAGUAAAGUUAAUACCUUUGCUCAUUGACGUUACCCGCAGAAGAAGCACCGGCUAACUCCGUG